GGGUGCGGCCAGGAUCGAAGGCAGAUCGCCAAUUACGCUGCUCUCGUGGACCCACCUGUAAAAUCCGCUCCAGAUACCAAGCGUUGACUGACAAAGGGAUCUUGCUCCGCCGACCAAGCAAGCAGCAUGGAUCCGCCGGAUCCGCCGCCACCGGCGGCGCUAAUGGACGAGCUCGUCGAAGAGGUCCUCCUCCGCGUCCCGCCGGACGACCCCGCGCUGCUCGUCCGCGCCGCCCUCGUCUGCGAGCGCUGGUGCGGCCUCGUCUCCGGCCCCGGCUUCCGCCGCAGGUUCCGCGAGCUCCACCGCGCGCCCCCCAUGCUCGGCUUCCUCGGCAACAUCGGGUCAGGUUUCCGCUUCAUCUCCACCUCCACCUUCCGCCUGCCCCAUGCCGGCCGCCGCAACUGGCGCGUGAUCGACGCCCGCCACGGCCGCGUCCUCCUCCACUGGGACUGCGGCUACAACCCUUUCGAGAGUAGCCUCAUCAUCUGGGACCCAACAACGGACGAGCGCAGGGAGGUGCCCCCGUUGCCGCCGUCUUCCGUGUACCCGUACAGCUGGAACGCGGCGGUGCUCUGCGCCGGCGGCGGCGCCUGCGACCACCUCGACUGCCACCGCGGACACUUCCUCGUGGUCGUCGUGGGCACCAAUCAGAAAGACAUGUUCGGUUACGUCUACUCAUCGGAGGGUGGUGCGUGGAGCGAGCCGACAUCUGCUCAGCAUCCCCAUGACAGCGUCGAUUUCACGCCCAGUGCUCUUGCGGGGAAUGCACUCUACUUCGUAUUUCAGAUGGGCACCAGAAUCCUCGAGUACAAUUUGGGCACACAUGAAAUGGCAGUGAUUGACCUGCCACCACUACGCUUCUAUGGGCAGCGCAUUGUGCUCAGUACUAGGGAUGAUGGCGGGCUCGGAUUCGCCACAGCAGAUAAGUCCACCAUCUACCUGUGGUCGAGGGAGGCUCAUCCUCAAGGAGAAUCGCAUUGGGUGCAGAGCAGAGUCAUUGAGCUCGAGAUGCUGCUCCCUGUUGAUGCCCUCUCAACCUUUUCUGAUGUGGUUAGCUUUGUGGAUGGCAUUGGUAUUUAUUUUGUGCGGACAGGUGAUGGAAUCUUCACCAUUGAUCUAAAGUCUAGCCAGGUCACAAAGGUGUGCAGGGACAGUGGCUUCUCUGGCAUUUUCCCCUACAUGAGCUUCCACACUCCAGCAUUGGGAGUGGCCUCUACAGACGAGGGACCAAAAGCGGGUGCCUCAAGUGCUUGAUAAAAUAAGGUGCUUAUGUGCGGGUUUCUCGGUCCAGGGGAAAUCAGGACAACCCUUUAGCAUCAGUGUGGAGGUGCUCAAUGCUCUCAAACAUUCCUUUCAGCAAGCACCAGUUUGUGAAAACAUUCAGGCCCCAUAUGGAAUAUAUGAAUUUCUCAUGAAUGAGUACAAUUCCUACAGAAAUCCUUCAAAAUUCCUAGCUAGGAACGGGUCUUAGCUGUGUUUAUUGAACGCUGAUAUUUUUAGUAGUUCACUUACAGAAGAAAACGCAUGGAAAGGUUGAAAGGAUAGCUGACCGAUUGACAUUAACAUUGUGGAUAUGAAAGGUUGAGAAACAUCUGUACACCAUACAUGUGUAUUAGUUUUUUAAUAGUUCAUAUUCUGUAUGUCGGUUAGAGAACCGUCACUGCUCUCUUCAGCAGCAGUGUCGGCACGACGGAGGAUGCAAGAUACAUUAUUCAGGUUUUCAGAUAUUGUUGGAGCAUGUGCUAUCCUUAUUCCUUAAUGCUCAGGUAAUAUUUGCAGAGCACUAUCCUCUUGAAAUAACAUUUAACAUUUUACCGCUAACGAUAUCAGCUAACACAAGAGAAUUAUUUCCUUUGUUGAAAAUUUGUGGUGCAAAAUCUGUUGCCUAGAGGCAACUCGUGUUCAGUCUGUCCAAAGUGUAACAGGGGACACCGGUUAACACAGUUCCUGGCUGAUAUAUGGAACAUACAUCGGCCUCUGAUCUUACAAUCUGAUUUCUCUGACCUUCAUAUCACAUGUGCUCUUACAGAGAAAUUACAUAGAUCAUAGAUGGUGAUGGCUCAGUGGACCAUUAAGCAAAGGCUCAGGAGUCAACAGUCAAGAGCUGUACCUGUUCUCAGCUAGCUAGUAGUCUAGUACUGGUAGUAAUUGUCAACAAAGAUAGAGACAGCUGUCCCAAAGGUCAAACAUGUGAAUGGACUAUUGACUCUCUCAGAUUAGUUGUUCUUAUACGUGCUUGCUUUCCUUGAGUUCAAUUAUUCUCAUAUGUCCUUGUUCUCAUUGGAGUUUUGACGAGAAACAUAGAAUACAAAGAGUUUCAGAGACAUCAAACUUACUGUGUGUUGUCUUGCCUAUCUUCAGCGUUGUCUUCCGGAGGAGUGAGAGAGAGGGCCUCCAAAUGGAUAAUUUCCUUUCUGCAGUACUGGGCGAGCUGACCAAUAGAUCCAUAAAUUUCAUCAUC